UACGUAGGGUGCAGGCGUUAAUCGGAAUUACUGGGCGUAAAGCGUGCGCAGGCGGCUUUGCAAGACAGAUGUGAAAUCCCCGGGCUCAACCUGGGAACUGCAUUUGUGACUGCAUGGCUGGAGUGCGGCAGAGGGGAUGGAAUUCCGCGUGUAGCAGUGAAAUGCGUAGAUAUGCGGAGGAACACCGAUGGCGAAGGCAAUCCCCUGGGCCUGCACUGACGCCUCAUGCACGAAGCGUGGGAGCAACAGG
rnacentral:rRNA from 1 species